CCAACAGGGAUUGCCCUAGUAACGGCGAGUGAAGCGGCAACAGCUCAAAUUUGAAAUCUGGCUCUCGGGCCCGAGUUGUAAUUUGUAGAGGAUACUUUUGAUGCGGUGCCUUCCGAGUUCCCUGGAACGGGACGCCAUAGAGGGUGAGAGCCCCGUCUGGUUGGAUGCCAAAUCUCUGUAAAGUUCCUUCGACGAGUCGAGUAGUUUGGGAAUGCUGCUCUAAAUGGGAGGUAUAUGUCUUCUAAAGCUAAAUACCGGCCAGAGACCGAUAGCGCACAAGUAGAGUGAUCGAAAGAUGAAAAGCACUUUGAAAAGAGAGUUAAAAAGUACGUGAAAUUGUUGAAAGGGAAGCGUUUAUGACCAGACUUGGGCUUGGUUAAUCAUCUGGGGGUUCUCCCAGUGCACUUUUCCAGUCCAG
rnacentral:rRNA from 1 species